AUGGCCAAUGAUGGCGCCGUGUCCGCCAUCCCCCGGCUCCCUUGGGCUAUAAGACUGAUGCCCACGACCCCGGGACAAACCCUAGCCCCUUUUCCUCCCCCUCCCUGUGUCGUUGCUCUCUCCCUCACACCCACCCGACGCCACCAUCGUCACGUCGAUCCCGCGGCCACCGGCCUCCCUUCGUCGCGCCAAGAUGUCCAGAAGCAUCCUCGUCAUCGUCUCCUUCGUCCUCGACCAGUGAAUCAAGCCGGGAAGGCCCGUACGAUCGCCAUCAAGCUCGUCGUCACUGCGUACAUCAUUGUCGCCGCCGUCGAUUGCCGCCACUUCGACCGUCCCUGGCCCCACCGACCAAUGCGUCGUGACCGCUGUGAGAACCCGCAUCGAACCCCUCUUUGCCUUGUCCCUGAAUUCGAGCUCGAGCGUGUUCUUCUGCAACCACCGUAG
rnacentral:rRNA from 1 species